rnacentral:rRNA from 1 species
CCCAGACUCCUACGGGAGGCAGCAGUGAGGAAUAUUGGUCAAUGGGCGGAAGCCUGAACCAGCCAAGUCGCGUGAGGGACUAAGGCCCUGCGGGUCGUAAACCUCUUUUGCCGGGGAGCAGUGGUCCGGACGCGUCCGGACCGGGAGAGUACCCGGAGAAAAAGCAUCGGCUAACUCCGUGCCAGCAGCCGCGGUAAUACGGAGGAUGCGAGCGUUAUCCGGAUUUAUUGGGUUUAAAGGGUGCGUAGGCGGGCUGUUAAGUCAGCGGUAAAAGCCGGGGGCCCACCCCCGGCGAGCCGUUGAAACUGGCUGUCUUGAGAUGUCGAGAGGUAUGCGGAAUGCGCGGUGUAGCGGUGAAAUGCAUAGAUAUCGCGCAGAACUCCGAUUGCGAAGGCAGCAUGCCGGCUCCACACUGACGCUGAGGCACGAAAGCGUGGGUAUCGAACAGGAUUAGAUACCCCGGUAGC